rnacentral:rRNA from 1 species
AACGAACGCUGGCGGCAUGCCUAACACAUGCAAGUCGAACGAGACCUUCGGGUCUAGUGGCGCACGGGUGCGUAACGCGUGGGAACCUGCCCUUAGCUUCGGAAUAACUCCCCGCAAGGGGUGCUAAUACCGGAUAAUGUCUUCGGACCAAAGAUUUAUCGCCUUUGGAUGGGCCCGCGUUGGAUUAGCUAGUUGGUAGGGUAAAAGCCUACCAAGGCGACGAUCCAUAGCUGGUCUGAGAGGAUGAUCAGCCACACUGGGACUGAGACACGGCCCAGACUCCUACGGGAGGCAGCAGUGGGGAAUAUUGGACAAUGGGCGAAAGCCUGAUCCGGCAAUGCCGCGUGAGUGAUGAAGGCCUUAGGGUUGUAAAGCUCUUUUACCCGGGAUGAUAAUGACAGUACCGGGAGAAUAAGCUCCGGCUAACUCCGUG